CCUACGGGAGGCAGCAGUAGGGAAUAUUGCACAAUGGGGGAAACCCUGAAGCAGCAACGCCGCGUGGAGGAUGAAGUUUUUCGGAUUGUAAACUCCUUUUGUUAGAGAAGAUAAUGACGGUAUCUAACGAAUAAGCACCGGCUAACUCCGUGCCAGCAGCCGCGGUAAUACGGAGGGUGCAAGCGUUACUCGGAAUCACUGGGCGUAAAGAGCGCGUAGGCGGGAUAGCAAGUCAGAUGUGAAAUCCUAUGGCUUAACCAUAGAACUGCAUUUGAAACUGUUAUUCUAGAGUAUUGGAGAGGUAGGUGGAAUUCUUGGUGUAGGGGUAAAAUCCGUAGAGAUCAAGAGGAAUACUCAUGGCGAAGGCGACCUGCUAGAACAUAACUGACGCUGAUGAGCGAAAGCGUGGGGAGCAAACAGGAUUAGAUACCCCUGUAGUC
rnacentral:rRNA from 1 species